UACGUAGGGGGCAAGCGUUGUCCGGAUUCAUUGGGCGUAAAGAGCGUGUAGGCGGCCAGGUAGGUCGGUUGUGAAAACUGGAGGCUCAACCUUCAGACGUCGACCGAAAUCAUCUGGCUAGAGUCCGGGAGAGGAGAGUGGAAUUCCUGGUGUAGCGGUGAAAUGCGCAGAUAUCAGGAAGAACACCAAUGGCGAAGGCAGCUCUCUGGGACGGUACUGACGCUGAGACGCGAAAGCGUGGGGAGCGAACAGG
rnacentral:rRNA from 1 species